GAUUCUUCCCAAUUCUACCGCCACCAUUCUGGUUCAAGCUACCUGUAGAGACGGGGUUUCACCAUGUUAGCCAGGAUGGUCUCGAUCUUCUGACCUCGUGAUCCGUCCGCCUCAGCCUUCCAAAGUUCUGGGAUUACAGACGUGAGCCACCGCGCCCGGCCAAAAGAUCCAUAAACUUUGAGUCACCAGAUAGAGCUAACAUUUACCACAGAGGAAGGUUUAAGAGGAGCCUUUUAAACUGAACUAUAUUCUAAGAGAGAUAAGGUCCUCUGGCUGGACUCAAACUCCGGGGCUCAAGCAAUCCUCCCACCUCAUCCUACAGAGUAGCUGGGCCUAUAGACAGAGUCUUGCUCUGUCACCCAGGCUGGAGUACAGUGGUGUGAUCUCGGCUCACUGCAACCUUUGCCUCCUGGAUUCAAGCGAUUCUCCUGCCUCAGUCUCCCGAGUAGCUGGGGCUACAAAACUCCUUUCCUUAGGCUGGAUUUGCCAUCUCCCACAAAGCCCAUAACUUGAAUUAUCACUUAGGUCUUUGGACCUAAUUUCUAACAAAGGUAAAACAUGCACAGAGCAAAUUUCGGUUGUAUCCUAGAAAUGAUAGCCAUAUUGAGGAUACUGGUUACACCUGACGAAACAUCUCCAUGAAAGUUAAGCAUACACAGGAUCUCACUUUGUUACCCAGGCUAGAGUGCAAUGGUGUGACCACAGCUCACUGAAGCCUCAACCUCCUGAGCUCACUUUUAA
rnacentral:lncRNA from 1 species